rnacentral:rRNA from 1 species
AUGAACGCUGGCGGCGUGCCUAAUACAUGCCAGUCGAGCGAACGGACGAGAAGCUUGCUUCUCUGAUGUUAGCGGCGGACGGGUGAGUAACCCGUGGAUAACCUACCUAUAAGACUGGGAUAACUUCGGGAAACCGGAACUAAUACCGGAUAAUAUUUUGAACCGCCUGGUUCAAAAGUGAAAGACGGUCUUGCUGUCACUUAUAGAUGGAUCCGCGCUGCAUUAGCUAGUUGGUAAGGUAACGGCUUACCAAGGCAACGAUGCAUAGCCGACCUGAGAGGGUGAUCGGCCACACUGGAACUGAGACACGGUCCAGACUCCUACGGGAGGCAGCAGUAGGGAAUCUUCCGCAAUGGGCGAAAGCCUGACGGAGCAACGCCGCGUGAGUGAUGAAGGUCUUCGGAUCGUAAAACUCUGUUAUUAGGGAAGAACAUAUGUGUAAGUAACUGUGCACAUAUUGACGGUACCUAAUCAGAAAGCCACGGCUAACUACGUG